rnacentral:rRNA from 1 species
UACGGAGGGUGCGAGCGUUAUCCGGAUUUACUGGGUUUAAAGGGUGUGUAGGCGGACUAUUAAGUCAGUGGUGAAAUCUUCAGGCUCAACCUGGAACUGCCGUUGAUACUAUUAGUCUUGAAUACUGUGGAGGUGAGCGGAAUGUGUCAUGUAGCGGUGAAAUGCAUAGAGAUGACACAGAACACCGAUUGCGAAGGCAGCUCACUACGCAGUGAUUGACGCUGAGGCACGAAAGCGUGGGGAGCAAACAGG